UUUCAUGAGAGCUGAUUUUUCUUUUGGUUUAUAUGCAGAUACCCUAUUAUGACGAUUUAUCCACUGAAGCUAUAUAUCGAUUUGAUUGUACACCUCUUUGAUAUAUCAUUUCGAUAACAUCUUUGUUCCUCAAUCUGAGAUGAUUUGACGGAAGUGUUCAUAUUUCAGACCUCUAAGAGUUCACCAUUCCGGUCCUGCAAAAGAUGUGCGCUUAGAAUGGUCCUGAUGUUGCAGUCAUUAGGUGAUAUUUCCUCUGGUUCUUUGAUUUUUCAGGAACUCCUUUGUCUAAAAGAAAAAGCCAAGAAGAUCAUGACAGUAGUCUUGAAGAUCAACACUAUGUCAUUUAACAAUUAUAUUAUUUCUUAUUUAUUAUUUAGUUCUCACAAUUUGCCUUGAAUGAAAAAUAU